AGCAGCCGCGGUAAUUCCAGCUCCAAUAGCGUAUAUUAAAGUUGUUGCAGUUAAAAAGCUCGUAGUUGAAUUUCGGGAUUGACACAUCGGUCGUGCCUUAAGGGGUAUGAACUGGUGUAGUCAAUUUCUCACCUUCUGGAGAACCGCGAUGUCCUUAAUUGGGUGUCGCGGGGAACCAGGACCUUUACUUUGAAAAAUUAGAGUGUUUAAAGCAGGCAUUUUGCUUGAAUACAUUAGCAUGGAAUAAUAAAAUAGGACGGCAUGAUUCUAUUUUGUUGGUUUCUAGGAUCACCGUAAUGAUUAAUAGGGAUAGUUGGGGGCAUUAGUAUUCAAUUGUCAGAGGUGAAAUUCUUGGAUUUAUUGAAGACUAACUACUGCGAAAGCAUUUGCCAAGGAUGUUUUCAUUAAUCAAGAACGAAAGUUAGGGGAUCGAAGACGAUCAGAUACCGU
rnacentral:rRNA from 1 species